GGUAUCUGAAGGACAUGCCGCAUUUAUUUUUCAACCCCGAGCAUUUGGAGAAAAGCUGCCCUUUCUCUUGGUUCCCCGAAGCAGAAGCAGGAUUUUGUGGCCGCACACCUACACCUACGGAGGACGAUAUAGAUGUAGCAGCUGAAAAUGAUGAGGGUCAGAUCCAAUCCGGCAGCCUGUGAGAGAGCCGCUGGGUCACGGUUUGCGCGGGCCAGGAAGAGGCUCAUAAAACGCUGUUCCUCUCUCGGUCUUUCGCUCGGCUCUUGGAAUCGUGGGCGCAGAGAGACAGUGAGAGGGGGUGAAGGUUUGAGGUUUGGGGGGGAGGGCGCCAGUCCCACCCCUGGAAGCUAAACGCCCCACUCCGCCCCAGACGCCCCCAGACGCUCCCAGACGCCCCCACACGAGGCUUUUCAUGCUGGGCUGGCAAGGCCAACAGGCUGGCCCAAAACCCCGCCAUUUAACAGACACCCCAGGCCGGCCUGCCAUGGCCACACUUUGAAGGGACACCUGCAGUGAAACUGUAUCUGUAGGGCCCCCAGACUGUAACCUCAUCCUGGCCCCUGGCCCCCCCAGGGGGAGAAGGGGGGGAGCUGGAGUAGACAUCCAGACGUGCCACACCGCCCCUUUGAAGAUUAUUAUAGGUGGCAGUGGAUGACUCCCGAGAGGAGGGGGCGGAGCUUAUCAAGCGUGUGUGAUGCUGACAUCAUCGCAGGGGGCAAUGCAGGUAUGGGGGAGAGGGGGAUGGGUCUCUGGCAGGUACAGACAGCUCACCUGGGUCAGCUUCACCUGUAUAGAAUUCCUAGGAGAAAAAAACUUCUUUGGCCAAAGUGCUCCAGUCUCAAAGAGGGU